AGGGCUGGUACCUGCAGUUAUUCCACAGGCUAGUUAAUAACAUGUCGGGCAGGAAAUCCAAAGUGUGGCAUCAUUUUGAGAAGGUGAAGGACGAACCCAAGGUGAUAUGUAAACUCAUCUUCAUUGGUCGACUACAAACAUGACGUAUCAUCUGAAACAUGGAAGUAGCUACAUGCCCAUUAGCCCACAGCGUCAUUAACAGGCGGCUCGCUCAGUGUGUGACGUGCACUUGUAGAUAAAAUAUAGGCCUAUAUUAAUGAAGCUUCAUUAGUACGGUUUUGUAUUUCUCUGUAAUGUAGCACAGUGUUAACAAUGUUACUGAUACUAUUCUU